UUCUAUGAUCUUUUGUCGCAUUCAAAGUUCAGUUUAUACUGGUUGUUAUACCGUGGUGUGUGGCCGCGUCUACAUUAGCAUUAUAUUUUCCCGUUGCCUCGACCGUCUGAUUCGUCACAGUUCCCAAUUUAGAAACAUUCAGUUAUCCUGCCUUAGAUAGGUUGCACAUCGCGGCCGGAGCUGCAGCCAUAGCGGAAUAACUUACAAUCGAGUUGCAAAUUGCUAAACAACGUGAGAAUAUUUCAAUUUCGCGCGCUACUUUAAAUAUUGUGCUACAUCAACAUGUAGUGAGUGGACUUCCCCGUUCGAAUUAUCUAGAAAUCGAUUAGAUAUGAGCUCGCGUCACAUAGAUAGCCCAGACCGAUUGACGGGACGGGCGACAGAAUCGACAAGCCGGGCGUUUUCGUCGCCACAGUACAAAAACUUAGUUACAAUAGUGUUUCAGUGAUAAAUAAUACUACUGCAUCGACCUUAGUGCAUCUUUGACCUUACUAAGUGAUACUAAAAAAGCAAUUGUGUAAUUCUGUUGAGAAAGCCGAGUUGAAAUAUGGAUAGAAAUGAUUUUUCGUCGAAUUUUAGCUCAUGUAUCAAGGAGUCGAUGGAAGCUGGUCAGCUGACUUGCAAGUCAUUGCCACCGAGUACAUGAUAUGCUGAUGAUGCAGGAGACGGAGCUGGUUCUUCCUCGGAAGGUGGGGACAUGGCUUGCCACGUCUCCAUGUCAGAGACUGGACCCUAAGGCCUCAAGGACUCUAACAGCGCUUGGAAAGAAUUGUGAACUUGUCGUAUUACGCAAUGCAUAAUGCAUUAAGGUAUAUCUAGAGUCGCUUCAUCUUUCUUAUCAAGUGGAGUACGCACGAUGUUUUUCUUCAUCGCUGUCAGUCGUGUUUAAAUCAAAUCAAAUCAUCUUUAUUGUGGACUAUAGAACAAAUGCUGCUUUAACGCCAGGCUGCUGGACAUCACGGUAAACGGAGCUACCAGAUUGGGGAGAAAAUACAAAAUGUCGCCAACGAAUUGAAACACAAAGAAGAUGAUGAGCAGGGAGCAGGCUUGGAGUUCCUCAGGGGAGCUGGACUGUACAAUCACUACAUAGUACAAAACAAAGUCGCUUUCUCUGUCCCUAUGUCCCUUUGUAUGCUUAAAUCUUUAAAACUACGCAACGGAUUUUGAUGCGGUUUUUUUUAAUAGAUAGAGUGAUUCAAGAGGAAGGUUUAUAUGUAUAAUGCAUGCAUAAUAUAUCACCAUGCGAAGCUGGGGCGGGUCGCUAGUAAAUAAAUAAAACAUGAUGUAUGAUGAGGAAAGAUCUCUGUGCAAUAACUCUAUGUACUUAUUAAACAUGUAUAACUACUUGUCAAUUAGCUUUUGUUAGUAUAUUUACGUGAGUAAACCGUUUUAUUUA